GGUGCGGCGGCGGGAGCAGCGCGCGAGGAGCGGCGGGGCCGGCGCACCUGACUGAAUGGAGGAGCAAGUGGACGGGAAGUUCCUGCGCCACACACAGAUCACAUUUAUUACUCUCGCCCUCAGAGACCCGGAGAUCCAAACCGUUCGCAUGGUGCCUUGAAGCAGCCUGUGCUCAUGCGCUUCUCCCAGGGAGAAGGCGGAAUGGCAGUGACUGGCCACGUUAAGCCACAGGGUGCACACUCUGCAGCUGUCAAGCCCAGCUCUGCGUCAGCUCACACCUGCGAUUUUGCGCCGCACACGCGGAUUUGAGUUGUCGCUGGUUGUUGCAGCGUUUGGCUUUGGGCAGCAGCGUGCAAAGGAAAAGCAAGGAAGGAGGUGAACCUGUGAGGAAGAGUGAUGGAUAAAGAGGAUUGGAGCGCACCUGCCAGUCAAGAGGGAUCAAGAAAGAAGACACCGGUGGUGGAACCGCAGGUCAGGAGAGCUCAAGGAGGGAGAAAGGUGGUUGUGGCCAUAUGGGUUUUUCUAGCUCACACACCAAUGAAAACAGUUUAGAUAAGAAAAGAAAUGUAUGCAAAUCCAACAAUUAAAGGCAGAGAAUGUUUAUAUGCUAUGUAUGGGAUAGACCUGAAGGUAUAUUUCUUCCUACAAUGAAGGAGAAUUCACAAUGGUAAUUAACUGAAGAUGUGAAUUUCCAGUUUACAUUGGCAACAUAUGCAAGGAACAUAUGAGUUUAUUACCCUCAGCAUAAACUGUGGGCUGAAAUUGAUAAUUUACCCUUAUACGGCAAACGCUGCUGUCAGCAUUGACCAGUAAGCAACAAGACUGUAUUUACUGAUGCCUCUGGUCGCUCACGUAAAGUUGUAAUGACGUGGCUAAACUCAGAUACCCAGUGCUGCAAACACAAGGUAGAAAAAGAGACCAAGGGUCAAACAAGUUCUUGAGCUGACAGCUGUUAGGAUCGCUUUGAGGUGUUCUGUAAAAACCUUUGGAUGUUGUAACUGGCUCAUAUUAUGCAGCUGGCAUACUUAACCGCCUGGAAGCUUCUUUUCUUAAGGAAGAGGAUAAUCCUCUUUUGAUGGCUGAAUUGAGAAUGCUAUGGUUUCUAAUAAAUCAUAGACAUCAUGGUUAUUAUGCAAUGCACACCCACUCGCUCUCGCACUGCCCUUCCAGGACCUCUUGCGGAAGGCAAUAGGAGGGCCGAUGCACAAGCUGUGCUGCUCACUGUGCCUGAAGCCUUGGAGCAAGCUAAAUUAUCACAUGAAUUCUUUCACCAGAGUGCAAAGUUGCUAAAACGACAAUUUCAAAUUACAGUGGAUCAGGCCAGGAGCGUUCUUAUGUCCUGCCCUGAUUGCCAACAGUUGGCACCCGUGCCAUCCAGAGAGGGUGUUAAUCCAGGAGGGAUUACUGCCAAUGAAGUACGGCCAGCUGAUGUAACGCAUUGUUCUGAAUUGGGUAAAUACGUACGUGUUUCUGUAGACGCUCAUUCCAGAUUUCUCGUUGCUGCUGCACGUGCUGGUGAAAGAGCACGAGACGUCUGUAACAUUGGUUGACAUGUUUUGCUGUUUGAGGAGUUCCACGAUAUGUAAAACCAGAGGAAAGCGGAACGCACGCUCGAUUAGAGGAGCGAUCCCCCAGUGCGCUGUAAUAAAAGUGCCUGCUUUUUAACACUUUCAAAA